CACGUAGGGGGCGAGCGUUGUCCGGAUUUAUUGGGCGUAAAGAGCUCGUAGGCGGCUCGGUAAGUCAGGUGUGAAAACUCUAGGCUCAACCUAGAGACGCCACCUGAUACUGCUGUGGCUAGAGUCCGGUAGGGGAGCAUGGAAUUCCUGGUGUAGCGGUGAAAUGCGCAGAUAUCAGGAGGAACACCAGUGGCGAAGGCGGUGCUCUGGGCCGGAACUGACGC
rnacentral:rRNA from 1 species